AGUCGAACGAAAGUUUUUAACUUUAGUGGCGAACGGGUGCGUAAUACGUGAGAAUCUGCCCUUAGGAGAAGAAUAACUGCUGGAAACGGCUGCUAAAUCUUCAUAUGUCGAGAGAUGAAAUAAUUUUAUUGCCUAAGGAUGAGCUCACGCCUGAUUAGCUAGUUGGUGAGGUAAUGGCUCACCAAGGCCACGAUCAGUAGCUGGUUUGAGAGAACGAUCAGCCACACUGGGACUGAGACACGGCCCAGACUCCUCCGGGAGGCAGCAGUGAGGAAUUUUCCGCAAUGGGCGAAAGCCUGACGGAGCAAUACCGCGUGAGGGAUGAAGUAUUUUGGUAUGUAAACCUCUUUUCUCAAGAAAGAAGUUCUGACGGUACUUGAGGAAUAAGCAUCGGCUAACUCCGUGCCAGCAGCCGCGGUAAUACGGGGGAUGCAAGCGUUAUCCGGAAUCAUUGGGCGUAAAGCGCCUGUAGGUUGUUUAAUAAGUCUGUUGUUAAAGACUAGGGCUCAACCCUAGAAAAGCAAUGGAAACUACUAGACUAGAGUAUGGCAGGGGUAGAGGGAAUUUCUAGUGUAGCGGUGAAAUGCGUAGAUAUUAGAAAGAACACCGGUGGCGAAAGCGCUCUACUGGACCAUUACUGACACUCAGAGGCGAAAGCUAGGGUAGCAAAAGGGAUUAGAUACCCCUGUAGUCCUAGCCGUAAACGAUGGAUACUAGAUGUUGUGCAUAAAGUACAGUAUCGUAGCUAACGCGUUAAGUAUCCCGCCUGGGGAGUACGCUCGCAAGGGUGAAACUCAAAGGAAUUGACGGGGGCCCGCACAAGCGGUGG
rnacentral:rRNA from 1 species